rnacentral:lncRNA from 1 species
GGCACCUUCGCACUCGAGAGCCGCCGUUCCUGCUGUUCCUGCCCUUCCCUAACGACAGUCGCCCCCCCACCCCCACCCCGGGCCCACCUGCAAGGACCCCUUCUCCCUGCGGCUUCUCCAAGCCCUCGGGCAAGGACGGCCUUCGGUGGGCUUCAGGGACCUCUGCACGCUCCUCCUAACAGCACUUGGGGGCCGUGGUGGUUUGCGGGUGCCCGGCCCGCCCCCCAGCAGGCUGCGGGUUCCGGAAGGGCCAGGAAGGGCUCGCCUGAAGCCCCGGAGCUCGGCUGGGCGCCUGGCCCGGAGCCGCGGAGCAGGGAGCAGAGGAGAGAAGGUUCUGGGCGGAAAGGAGGCCAGCGAGGAAAACGGAAGUGCAGGCGCGGAGCCGCGAAGGUUGGGGCAGAGACCCCCAACGACGUCCCUCUCGGGCGGCCUCUAACCAGGGGCCGGAACCGCCGAGGAGACGCGCCGCGGGCGCAGCGGGGCACGGGGGCUGCUCCCACUGCUCUCCCCCCGGCGUUCCCCGAUCCCUGCCCGGCUGGCGUCCGGCCCGGCUCUUCCACUCCGCUUUCCAGGUCCCUGGUGAAGUCUGACUUCCCAGACCCUCCGCCCCCUCCAGUCUCGGCGCAGCGCCGCCUCGCUCCCCUCUGCCCUCGCCCCUCCCGGCGCUCAGGGUCCUCGCCCGGGUGCCCUCCAGCCACACGCCCUCGGCGCGCCGGGGCUGCCCACGCUCGCAUGAGGAAGCUGAUAGACUGCAGCCCAGGAGCUGAGCUCGGGCUGAACCCCAGGCCUGGUCCUGCCCCUUGGCCAGUGCUCCUUGCAGGGGACAAGCUGUGGCAACAAGACCGGUGGCCCUGACAGCCGGGGAGAGACAGGACAGGCGCGGCCAGCGCCGCUCCAAAUGCAGCUCUCCAACCAGUCUGUCCACGGGGUAAGUAUAAAAAGCAAAAGGAAACGUUUAGAAACUCGUCCAGCAACACAUCGAUGUUUCCUGAAUAGAAUAAUUUAAAACUUGGGCUGGUAGUCUGUAUGUCUUUUUUUCUUUCUUUUUCUUUUUUUUCCCAGCAAUUUGUUUCUUUUUUAUUGUGUUAUAUAAAACAUAAAAUUUGCCAUUUUAAUUAUUUUAAGUGGCAUCACUUACAUUUACAAUAUUGUCCUACCAUUUGCCACCACCCAUUGCCAGACUUUUCGAUCAUCCCAGACAGAAACUCUGUGAUGGUUUGAAGAUGGAUGGACCCCACAAAAUUAGGUUCUUAAAGUUAAUCCAUUCCUGUGGGUGUGAAUCUACUGUAGGUGGGACCUUUCGAUUAGGUUAUUCCAUUUAGGGUGUGACCCAAUGUGGGUCUUGAUCCUCUUACUCGAGUCCUUUAUAAAGAGGAUCAAUACAGAGAGAGAGAGAGACAGCCAGCAGAAGCCAGAAGCUGAAGCAAGGAAACCGGGAAGAGAGGGAGAGACCAGCAGACACCGUCAUGUGCCUUGCCCUGUGACAGAGGAGCCCAGGAUGGCUCAGGAUUGCUGACAGCCAGUCUUUGGGGAGAAACCUGAUGAUGCUUUGAUUUUGGACAUUUUUCUUGGCCUCAAAAUUGUAAGUUUGUAAGCUAAUAAAUUCCCACUGUGAAAACCAACCCAUUUCUGAUAGUUUGCUUUUGGCAGCCUAGCAGACUGAAACAGACUCUAAGCUAUAAUUCCCCAUUUCUCCCUUCUCCCCACCCCCAGUAACCUGUAAUCUACUUUCUGUCUCUAUGAACUUCCUUAUUCUCCAACCAUCACGGUCUGUCUGGAACACUGUGCUUAAUUCCAGGGAGGAGUGGCAGGCCCAUGCAUCUGGAAGACGUCAGGAGUGGGCCCAUGGCUUCAGCAGGUUCAAGCAAGAGCAAAUCUCAGCAUUUGGGCGGAAGGAUACUUUGGAAGAAGCCUCGCUCUUCAGUGCUGGCUUUGCAUCUGUGAGGAGCAGAGGCUGCAGCAGGUAGCAAGGUACUCUGUGGAACCUGAGAAUGAAGGGAAACUGAGUCCCAAAGACAUUAUUUGAGCUCUGAGCUGCCUAGGGCCACUCGGUAGAAGCUGAUCAUGAAACCAGUACAGAGUGGAGUGGAGAAGUGGAGAAAAAUGAGCUAUGUUGACAUCAUCUGAGCCUUGAAUCUGGCAAUGCCCGCGGCCAGUUAUACUCUGGAUGUUUCAUGUUGGGGCCAAUACAUUCACUUCAACCCCAAUAAACCAGUUGGAAUUAGAAAUUUUGGGCCUUUGUAAUAAAAAGAAUCCUAGUCAAAACACAAUACUACUUGUCAAUUGAACUACUCACUGUUUCCAUAAUAGAGUCCAUGUUUUCCAGCUCUAUGCUUUGGUUCCCAACUGUUCCUUUUCUGGAAUAUUCCCCUCCUCAACUGUCUUCUUUAUCUUUGCAUGUCCAAAUAUGACCCAUCCUUCAAAUGUCAGGUCUUCCAGGUAGCCUUCUGUGCACGUUAAGAAUAAGCAUGAUGAGGGAAGUGGAUGUGGCUCAAGCAGUUGAGUGCCCGC